GACGAACGCUGGCGGCGUGCUUAACACAUGCAAGUCGAACGGAAAGGCCCUGCUUUUGUGGGGUGCUCGAGUGGCGAACGGGUGAGUAACACGUGAGUAACCUGCCCUUGACUUUGGGAUAACUUCAGGAAACUGGGGCUAAUAACGGAUAGGAGCUCCUGCUGCAUGGUGGGGGUUGGAGAGUUUCGGCGGCUGGGGAUGGACUCGCGGCUUAUCAGCUUGUUGGUGGGGUAGUGGCUUACCAAGGCUUUGACGGGUAGCCGGCCUGAGAGGGUGACCGGCCACAGUGGGACUGAGAUACGGCCCAGACUCCUACGGGCGGCAGCAGUGGGAGAUUUUGCACAAUGGGCGGAAGCCUGAUGCAGCAACGCCGCGUGCGGGAUGACGGCCUUCGGGUUGUAAACCGCUUUCGCCUGUGACGAAGCGUGAGUGACGGUAAUGGGUAAAGAAGCACCGGCUAACUACGUG
rnacentral:rRNA from 1 species